UCCGUUUUAUCAACGGCAGUCUCAACCGAGUGCCCGGCCGAACCGCUGGCAACAGUUGACAAGGGUUGCGCUCGUUGCGGGACUUAACCCAACAUCUCACGACACGAGCUGACGACAGCCAUGCAGCACCUUGCAUCCUGCUUGGUGUUACCCAAGAGACCCCAUCUCUGGGGCUGUCAGGAGCAUUCUAGCCUAGGUAAGGUUCUUCGCGUUGCGUCGAAUUAAACCACAUGCUCCACCGCUUGUGCGGGUCCCCGUCAAUUCCUUUGAGUUUUAGCCUUGCGGCCGUACUCCCCAGGCGGGACACUUAUCGCGUUGGCUUCGGCACGGACAGAUUCGACUCCGCCCACACCUAGUGUCCAUCGUUUACGGCGUGGACUAC
rnacentral:misc_RNA from 1 species